AGCAAAUUUUUUUUUUUACUGUUGAGUUAGCACUUUCCCAAAUUAUCAUGACUUUUGCUCGAUUUGAGUAAAAAUAACCAAUUUACUACUAAUUUUAGCAUUAAUAGUAGCAUGGACUCAAACUUUUAGCCUGUGCCCAAACCGCGUACUUUAUGUGCUCAAAUUUUAGAAAGGCGACACAGGCGGAAACCUGUUAGAUUAUUCUUGUUUUUAUUUUGCACCGCGCGCGGGUAAAACAUUUUUGUUCCGCUUCUCGGUUUUUCGUCGUUUUAUUUGAAUUUAAAAUUGGAUCAACAGCAGCUCGUUGGACGGAAUGCUGCAGAAGUAGCCAUUCUGCCUCCCGCGGAAAGUUACUGGUUCGAUAAUCAGUGGAAAAAUCCGAACCCCGAAGCACCAGUAGUGGUUCCGCCGGGUGAUGUGUGUGUUUUACCUGUUUGGUGAUUUCAUUGGUGAAGAUGUAAUCACUGAUCAUAAUGUAAUAGUAAAAGCUUCAAGAACACUUUUCGAAACCCGCGG